AUUGAACGUUGGCGGGAGGCCUAACACAUGCAAGUCGCGCGGAGAGGCGGUCGGGUGACUAAUGCCUAGGAAUCUGCCUGGUAGUGGGGGAUAACGUCCGGAAACGGGCGCUAAUACCGCAUACCAUCAGAUGAGCCGAGGUCGGAUUGGCUCGUUGGUGGGGGAAAGGCCUACCAAGGCGUCGAACCGUAACUGGUCUGGGAGGAUGAUCAGUCAGACUGGAACUGAUAGACGGUCAAGACUGCUACGGUAGGCAGCAUUGGGGGAUAUUGGACAAUGGGCGAAAGCCUGAUUCAGCCCUGCCGCGUGUGUGAAGAAGGUCUUCGGAGAUUAAAGCACUUGAAGUUGAGAGGCGUUACCAACAGAAUAAGGACCGGAUAACUUCGAGCCAGCAGCCGCGGUAAUUC
rnacentral:rRNA from 1 species